rnacentral:rRNA from 1 species
UACGUAGGGACCAAGCGUUGUUCGGAUUUACUGGGCGUAAAGGGCGCGUAGGCGGCGAAUCAAGUCAGCUGUGAAAUCUCCGAGCUUAACUCGGAACGGUCAGCUGAUACUGUUUUGCUAGAGUGCAGAAAGGGCAACCGGAAUUCUUGGUGUAGCGGUGAAAUGCGUAGAUAUCAAGAGGAACACCGGUGGCGAAGGCGGGUCUCUGGGCAGUAACUGACGCUGAGGAGCGAAAGCGUGGGGAGCGAACAGG